CGCUCCGCUCCGUCGGUCCGGUCCCGCCGUGCCCCGGAGAUGCUGUCGGGGCUGCGCCGCCGCCUCCCCCCCCCCCGGAAGCGACCCACGGCGGCAGAUCCGACGUCGGGCUCUGCAGGAGAUCGUCGCCGGGGUGACGAAGCUUAUGGAAAAAAAGACCAAAGGCCUCGAGGGUGACUUCUUCCCAGGGAUGUUCUUCUUGACCCCCCGGGGCAAACGGAGGUGUCAGCGUCAGGAGCCAUCCUAACUGAGGCCCUGGCUCCCUCUUUCCCUUCGGUCGCCGUGGGUGUGCCGGACGCCUCU